rnacentral:rRNA from 1 species
CUGUGAUUAAAAUAGAGUGCUCAAAGCAGGCUUGUGCUUGAAUAUUUCAGCAUGGAAUAAUAAAAGACGACUUCAGUCAAUUUAUUGGUUAUUGGCAGAAGUAAUGAUUAACAGAAACAGUUGGGGGCAUCCGUAUUUGAUAGUCAGAGGUGAAAUUCUUAGAUUUAUCAAAGACGAACUAAUGCGAAAGCAUUUUGCCAAGAAUGUUUUCAUUAAUCAAGAACGAAAGUUAGGGGAUCCAAGACGAUUAGAUACCGUCGUAGUCCUAACCAUAAACUAUACCGACUAGGGAUUGGAAGGCUACGUACCUUUCAGCACCUAAUGAGAAAUCAAAGUCUUUGGGUUCUUGGGGGAGGUAUGGUCGCAAGGCUGAACUUAAAGGAAUUGACGGAAGGGCACUACCAGGAGUGGAUUCUGCGGCUUAAUUUGAUUCAACACGGG